GUAUGCAUGAUUUAAAUAAAAAUACUAGAUUGUGACUCUAGAUAUGAAAGUUAACCCUUUCUGCAAACC
rnacentral:tRNA from 1 species